AUUGAACGCUGGCGGCAUGCCUUACACAUGCAAGUCGAACGGCAGCACGGGAGCAAUCCUGGUGGCGAGUGGCGAACGGGUGAGUAAUAUAUCGGAACGUGCCCAGUCGUGGGGGAUAACGCAGCGAAAGCUGUGCUAAUACCGCAUACGAUCGAUGGAUGAAAGCGGGGGCUCGCAAGACCUCGCGCGAUUGGAGGGGCCGAUAUCAGAUUAGCUAGUUGGUGAGGUAAAGGCUCACCAAGGCGACGCUCUGUAGCUGGUCUGAGAGGACGGCCAGCCACACUGGAACUGAGACACGGUCCAGACUCCUACGGGAGGCAGCAGUGGGGAAUUUUGGACAAUGGGCGAAAGCCUGAUCCAGCAAUGCCGCGUGCAGGAUGAAGGCCUUCGGGUUGUAAACUGCUUUUGUACGGAACGAAACGGUGAGCUCUAAUACAGUUUGCUAAUGACGGUACCGUAAGAAUAAGCACCGGCUAACUACGUGCCAGCCGCCGCCGUAA
rnacentral:rRNA from 1 species